UACGGAGGGGGCUAGCGUUGUUCGGAAUUACUGGGCGUAAAGCGCACGUAGGCGGCUUUGUAAGUUAGAGGUGAAAGCCCAGGGCUCAACCCUGGAAUUGCCUUUAAGACUGCAUCGCUUGAACAUCGGAGAGGUAAGUGGAAUUCCGAGUGUAGAGGUGAAAUUCGUAGAUAUUCGGAAGAACACCAGUGGCGAAGGCGGGUCUCCUGGACAGUU
rnacentral:rRNA from 1 species